rnacentral:rRNA from 1 species
CCUACGGGAGGCAGCAGUGGGGAAUAUUGCACAAUGGGGGAAACCCUGAUGCAGCGACGCCGCGUGAGUGAAGAAGUAUUUCGGUAUGUAAAGCUCUAUCAGCAGGGAAGAAAAUGACGGUACCUGAUUAAGAAGCCCCGGCUAACUACGUGACAGCAGCCGCGGUAAUACGUAGGGGGCAAGCGUUAUCCGGAUUUACUGGGUGUAAGGGGAGCGUAGACGGCAGCACAAGUCUGGAGUGAAAUGCCGGGGCUUAACCCCGGAACUGCUUUGGAAACUGUGCAGCUAGAGUGCAGGAGAGGUAAGUGGAAUUCCUAGUGUAGCGGUGAAAUGCGUAGAUAUUAGGAGGAACACCAGUGGCGAAGGCGGCUUACUGGACUGUAACUGACGUUGAGGCUCGAAAGCGUGGGGAGCAAACAGGAUUAGAUACCCCAGUAGUC